GUAAAUACAGACGAAGCUUAGCUUGCUUGCUGCCACUCACUUCCUGCUGUGUGGUCUGGUUCCUAAUGGGGGUUGGGGACCUCUGCCCUACAGCUAGUCACCAUCAGCAACAGAAGCUUCAUCAUCCCCAUUCUCUUCUUCCUGCUAAGGCUGAGAAAGAUUGGAAAACUGGGACUGAGAUUAGGGAAACCCAGCUAUGAAGUGGCGGAACUCCAAGUUGAGGUCAGAUGUGCUGACUCCCAAGCCUGUUCUCUUUUGGCUACAUCAAGCUGCCUCUCUAGCUAUCAGUGGCUAAGCCACUAUUCUGUCCAGGAAUUUUAUCUUUGUCCUGUCUGGGUUGGUCAUGUGACUCUAAAAGUAUAUGGUCCAUUAUAUCUACUUCUGAAGGCCAAACAUCGCUUUUGGAUACCUGCCUCUUAAGGAUAAGUUUUCAUUUUUCAAGCCCUCCAAGGUAGUGGGUCCAAGACUUUUUUUUUUUUUUGACUGCUCAACUCUACCAAUAAAACAUUUUGAGCACAAAUC
rnacentral:lncRNA from 10 species